rnacentral:rRNA from 1 species
GACGAACGCUGGCGGCGUGCUUGACACAUGCAAGUCGAGCGAUCGGCCUUGGAGGGGUAACCCUCCCUGGUACGGAGCGGCGAACGGGUGAGUAACACGUGGGCAACCUGCCCCAGGCUCUGGAAUAACCCCGGGAAACCGGGGCUAAUGCCGGAUACUCUCGUUGGAUCGCAUGGUCCGGCGAGGAAAGCGCCGACGGUCCGGGAUGGGCCCGCGGCCUAUCAGCUUGUUGGUGGGGUAACGGCCCACCAAGGCGACGACGGGUAGCUGGUCGGAGAGGACGGCCAGCCACACUGGGACUGAGACACGGCCCAGACUCCUACGGGAGGCAGCAGUGGGGGAUCUUGCGCUAAUGCGCGAAAGCGUGACGCAGCGACGCCGCGUGGGGGAUGAAGGCCCUCGGGUUGUAAACCCCUUUCGGCAGGGACGAAGCGAAAGUGACGGUACCUGCAGAAGAAGUCCCGGCUAACUACGUGCCAGCAGCCGCCGUAAGAC